GACGAACGCUGGCGGCGUGCUUAACACAUGCAAGUCGAACGGAAAGGCCCUGCUUUUGUGGGGUGCUCGAGUGGCGAACGGGUGAGUAACACGUGAGUAACCUGCCCUUGACUUUGGGAUAACUUCAGGAAACUGGGGCUAAUGCCGGAUAGGAGCUCCUGCUGCAUGGUGGGGGUUGGAAAGUUUCGGCGGUUGGGUAUGGACUCGCGGCUUAUCAGCAUGUUGGUGGGGUAGUGGCUUACCAAGGCUUUGACGGGUAGCCGGCCUGAGAGGGUGACCGGCCACAUUGGGACUGAGAUACGGCCCAGACUCCUACGGGAGGCAGCAGUGGGGAAUAUUGCACAAUGGGCGGAAGCCUGAUGCAGCAACGCCGCGUGCGGGAUGACGGCCUUCGGGUUGUAAACCGCUUUCGCCUGUGACGAAGCGUGAGUGACGGUAAUGGGUAAAGAAGCACCGGCUAACUACAUG
rnacentral:rRNA from 1 species